ensembl:lncRNA
UAGGGAUGAAAUAAGGAAGGAAGGAAGGAUACAUUUAUCUGUUGGAACAUGGUCACAGUCUCCGGGCGUACGUACGAGCGACAGUGGGCGCGCGCACAAAUACACACAUCCCAGACAACACGCACUAAACCUCUGUCCAAACUUUCCUCCCCUUCAGUCUGUGCGUGACUCGCCAAGUCGUGAGAGCGCAAGAAGAACUUUCCGCUCUCUAGCACGGCUUAAAUUCGCGUUUUAAUUCCGCUACCAAGCUGUGGAGGUCUCAGUGCGGUGUUCGGGUUACUUUGGUGAUGGGUGCACCAUGGGAAACAAGAUCAGCAGAAGACGGGACACUGCACCAGCCGAGCAGAAGGCUGCAGAGGAGGCAAUCGACACGCAGGAAGCUGUGGUGGAGGCAGUAGCUGAUGCGCCAGUGGUGGUUGCAGAGGUGACUGAACCAGUAGUAGAAUCAGUGCCAGCACCGGUACAGGAGGCUGAGCCAGAGCCCCCCAAGCAGCCAGAGACUGCACCCUCAUUGGAGGAGCCGGUGAGCGUCCCACUAGUAGCCCCAGCACCACCUGAACCCGAGCCCCUGGUGUCAGUCAGCAAACCAGUGCCAGUCGCCCCGGAGCCAAAGCCAGUCGCCCCGGAGCCAAAGCCAGUCGCCCGGAGCCAAAGCCAGUCGCCCGGAGCCAAAGCCAGUCGCCCGGAGCCAAAGCCAGUCGCCCCGGCGCCAAAGCCAGUCGCCCCGGAGCCAAAGCCAGUCGUCAUAGAACAGGAGGCUGUCCCAGAGCCAAACCUCUCCCAGGAGUUCCUCCUACAGCCAGUCAUUCCAGAGACCCUCCCCUCCCCCACCCCUCUUCUGGACCUGGGUGUCCCUGAGCUGACCCCUGAGCCCCUCGAUGCUCCCCCCUCCCACAGAUCUGCCCCAGACCAGCCCACAGACCUGGGGGGUGCAGAAUGCUAUGACGACAACGUAAAGGGUGCCUGGAAUUCUGUCUCCGUCCCAGAAGAGUCCAAAGAAACCCCGGAGAAGCCAGCAACCAUGGCGGAGAAGCUUCUGUGUGAUGUCAUGGGCAGCGAGCUGAGCAAAGCGGAUUCUUCAACCACUUAGCCCUGACGGCCGAUGACAUCAUGGUCAAUGAUGUCAUAGCAGACGACAUUUCGGAAGGUGACGUGUCCACUGAGCUGAUAUGGGAGAAGAAAAUAAAAAUAAGAACUAGAAGAAAAAAAUGGACAAUGACGUUCUAAAAAAGGCAGACGCAAGCAGAAAAAAAAUGUAUAAAAAAAGAAUACAACUUUGAUCUGAGAAGGCUAAAGGGAAAACUAAGACCGUGAAGUAGCACUCAGAUAAUCUGAGACCUGGGAUGUAUUCCCUAGGAACCAAGUGUACGCAAACAGAAUUAAACUGGGUGGGACCUACAUGAAUUUGUCCAAUAGAAAUUCUAGUUUCUGUUGCGAAACAUUUUGGAAUAAUGAUUAGACCCCAGGUAAUAGACGUGCCUUUCUUUCUGAGUGUAGGUUGACUAAAGGGAUUUGGUGAUGGGUGGCCAGGGCAGAAGUGUACCCAUCAUCGCCCUCUGAGCCAUAUAGACAUAACACUGCAUAGCAGAACACUUACAGUAACUAUAUGUGGUAACUAUGUAUGACAAGACGUUUGCCUUGGUGUGUACACCUGAUGAAUUGUAACAACGUUUGAAAUUGGCCUACAUACUAUGAUGUACAUUCAUGCUUGGACUCUCACAAUCCUUCCUCUUUAACUCUGAAACGGAGGUGACCUUAUUAUAUUUCCUUGGAGGAAUGUAUUAAAGGUGAUGGUCUGGUUGUGAAAAUAAAAUAAGAUUGUUCCACCUUGAA